GCCCUUUAGAGUUUGAUCCUGGCUCAGGAUGAACGCUGGCGGCGUGCCUAACACAUGCAAGUCGAACGAAGCAUUUCAGAUGAAGUUUUCGGAUGGAUUCUGAGAUGACUGAGUGGCGGACGGGUGAGUAACACGUGGAUAACCUGCCUCACACUGGGGGACAACAGUUAGAAAUGACUGCUAAUACCGCAUAAGCGCACAGUACCGCAUGGUACAGUGUGAAAAACUCCGGUGGUGUGAGAUGGAUCCGCGUCUGAUUAGCCAGUUGGCGGGGUAACGGCCCACCAAAGCGACGAUCAGUAGCCGACCUGAGAGGGUGACCGGCCACAUUGGGACUGAGACACGGCCCAAACUCCUACGGGAGGCAGCAGUGGGGAAUAUUGCACAAUGGGCGAAAGCCUGAUGCAGCGACGCCGCGUGAGUGAAGAAGUAUUUCGGUAUGUAAAGCUCUAUCAGCAGGGAAGAUAAUGACGGUACCUGACUAAGAAGCCCCGGCUAACUACGUGCCAGCAGCCGCGGUAAUACGUAGGGGGCAAGCGUUAUCCGGAUUUACUGGGUGUAAAGGGAGCGUAGACGGCAUGGCAAGUCUGAAGUGAAAACCCAGGGCUCAACCCUGGGACUGCUUUGGAAACUGUCAAGCUAGAGUGCAGGAGAGGUAAGUGGAAUUCCUAGUGUAGCGGUGAAAUGCGUAGAUAUUAGGAGGAACACCAGUGGCGAAGGCGGCUUACUGGACUGUAACUGACGUUGAGGCUCGAAAGCGUGGGGAGCAAACAGGAUUAGAUACCCUGGUAGUCCACGCCGUAAACGAUGAGUGCUAGGUGUUGGGGGGCAAAGCCCUUCGGUGCCGUCGCAAACGCAAUAAGCACUCCACCUGGGGAG
rnacentral:rRNA from 1 species